CGAACCGACUUACGUUGAAAAGUGAGCGGAUGAACUGAGGGUAGCGGAGAAAUUCCAAUCGAACCUGGAGAUAGCUGGUUCUCUCCGAAAUAGCUUUAGGGCUAGCCUCAAGUGAUGAUUAUUGGAGGUAGAGCACUGUUUGGACGAGGGGCCCCUCUCGGGUUACCGAAUUCAGACAAACUCCGAAUGCCAAUUAAUUUAACUUGGGAGUCAGAACAUGGGUGAUAAGGUCCGUGUUCGAAAGGGAAACAGCCCAGACCACCAGCUAAGGUCCCAAAAUAUAUGUUAAGUGGAAAAGGAUGUGGCGUUGCCCAGACAACUAGGAUGUUGGCUUAGAAGCAGCCAUCAUUUAAAGAGUGCGUAAUAGCUCACUAGUCGAGUGACACUGCGCCGAAAAUGUACCGGGGCUAAACAUAUUACCGAAGCUGUGGAUUGUCCUUUGGACAAUGGUAGGAGAGCGUUCUAAGGGCGUUGAAGCAUGAUCGUAAGGACAUGUGGAGCGCUUAGAAGUGAGAAUGCCGGUGUGAGUAGCGAAAGACGGGUGAGAAUCCCGUCCACCGAUUGACUAAGGUUUCCAGAGGAAGGCUCGUCCGCUCUGGGUUAGUCGGGUCCUAAGCUGAGGCCGACAGGCGUAGGCGAUGGAUAACAGGUUGAUAUUCCUGUACCACCUAUAAUCGUUUUAAUCGAUGGGGGGAC
rnacentral:rRNA from 1 species